AUGCUUCUCCUAAAGACUAAGCCAUGCAUGCCCCGAAUAUGAGGAAGCAAUUCUCUCUGAAUCUGCGAACGGCUCCGCACACCAGUUGCAAACUAUAGCAAGCAAGCCGGUCGUCUACCGGGUGCGGGCAACACGGAUAACCCUGGUAAUUCUGAGGCUAAUACGAGAUCGUACUCCCUGGCUGACCGGGCAACUGGAAGGCUGGGAGGUGUGUGAUUUAGCACGAGGAAUCUGCUGGGAAUAGACA
rnacentral:rRNA from 1 species